rnacentral:rRNA from 1 species
GGCCUUUUUUAACCCAGAGGGAACUCGAAUCUUAAUCCGAUAAUCCCCGUUAAUUUUUUCUAUAAUUCAGUAUUUAUAUCGCCGUCCAAAGACAAAAAUAUUAAUUUUUAUCUUCACAAAACCAUUUUAUUAUGUCAGGUCGAGAUAAAGCCAAUAUUCUAGUGAAACGAGUUACAAAUUUUUUUUAAUUACCUUUUAUUAUUAAAAAAUAAUAAAACUUAGGAUUUGACAGUAAUGAAAAAGUAAUUUUUUUUCAUGAAAUUAAUUAAAAGGUGUACAUAUCGCCCGUCACCCUCGUCUAAAGAUGAGGUAAGUCGUAACAAAGUUAAUAUACUGGAAAGUGUAUUAAGGG